rnacentral:lncRNA from 1 species
GUGAUACGACGCUAGAUAAAAAAAAAAACGACGACGAAAGGUAACACCCGGCCACCGAAAGCUUAGUUAUAGUGGAGCUUAGGUUGUAGAGUGGUCUAACGCGUCGGACACAAGGCAAGGCGAUUUGGUUCCGCCAUAACUCAGUAGUAUAAUUCGAAUCCCUGCCAGCGACGAACACAAAAAAAAUAAUUUCUUCCACCAAUUUACAGAUUUAACAAUGUUGGGCUGAUGUUAAGACGAAUUAUAUAUAUUUAUCUAUAUACACUUUUUCUUAUUUUCCUGUAUUAUUUUCAUUUAUAUUAAUCUAUAAUAUAUAUUUCACGAC